GAAAAACUAUCAGACAGCAGACAGCUGCAUUCAAGCUGCUGAAUUCAUGGAUGAAUCAUCUGGCACUAGAGAAGAAGACCAUCAAACAUCCACGUCAGCUGAUGGAGGUCCAAGAGUCUCACGGAACAACCAACCUACAGAGUGAAGACCUCGAAUCUGAUUGGACAGCCUCCUAUUCAGCCACAUUUUAGGCUGUUAGAUUGUUCCAGAUAAGACAAGUACAAGAUUCUUCAGAGCCGUUCUACCACGAGCCUGACAGGAAGAACUCCAACAGCUACUGAAUGUUCCUGUGGUUCCCUCAAGGCUACAGGAGGAGCCCUACGAGGACGAGCCGGUCCACCUGAUGGCGGCCAGUCGCUGCGGUUCAAAGCCAACACCGACUACGUGGACUUCUACUGGACCACAUGGAGGCCUUCAAACCGGACCAACAAGUUCACAGACUCCCUGACUCGUGGGUCUGAGGACGCCGCCGAGCCUCGGUCCAGCUGGCCUCCUGUCUGUGGAUGUUUGAGUGCUGAGAGGUUUGUGGAUGCAUGUGAACGUUCUGUGUUGAAACAGCAGCU
ensembl:lncRNA